rnacentral:rRNA from 1 species
UACGGGGGGGGUAAGCGUUGUUCGGAAUUACUGGGCGUAAAGGGCUCGUAGGCGGCCAACUAAGUCAGACGUGAAAUCCCUCAGCUUAACUGGGGAACUGCGUCUGAUACUGGAUGGCUUGGAUUUGGGAGAGGGAUGCGGAAUUCCAGGUGUAGCGGUGAAAUGCGUAGAUAUCUGGAGGAACACCGGUGGCGAAGGCGGCAUCCUGGACCAACACUGACGCUGAGGAGCGAAAGCCAGGGGAGCAAACGGG